GACAAACGCUGGCGGCGUGCUUAACACAUGCAAGUCGAACGGUAAGGCCCUUCGGGGUACACGAGUGGCGAACGGGUGAGUAACACGUGGGUGAUCUGCCCUGCACUUCGGGAUAAGCCUGGGAAACUGGGUCUAAUACCGGAUAGGACCACUGCCUGCAUGGGUGGGGGUGGAAAGCUUUUGCGGUGUGGGAUGGGCCCGCGGCCUAUCAGCUUGUUGGUGGGGUGAUGGCCUACCAAGGCGACGACGGGGAGCCGGCCUGAGAGGGUGACCGGCCACACUGGGACUGAGAUACGGCCCAGACUCCUACGGGAGGCAGCAGUGGGGAAUAUUGCACAAUGGGCGCAAGCCUGAUGCAGCGACGCCGCGUGAGGGAUGACGGCCUUCGGGUUGUAAACCUCUUUCAGCACCGACGAAGCGCAAGUGACGGUAGGUGCAGAAGAAGGACCGGCCAACUACGUGCCAGCCGCCGCAGUAA
rnacentral:rRNA from 1 species